GUCUUUAUAGUUUAUAUAAAACCUUAGUCUUGUAAACUAAAAUAGCCUGGCCUAAAGACUC
rnacentral:tRNA from 1 species